rnacentral:rRNA from 1 species
GACGAACGCUGGCGGCGUGCUUAACACAUGCAAGUCGAACGGAAAGGCCCUGCUUUUGUGGGGUGCUCGAGUGGCGAACGGGUGAGUAACACGUGAGUAACCUGCCCUUGACUUUGGGAUAACUUCAGGAAACUGGGGCUAAUACCGGAUAGGAGCUCCUGCUGCAUGGUGGGGGAUGGAAAGUUUCGGCGGUUGGGGCUGGACUCGCGGCUUAUGAGCUUGUUGGUGGGGUAGGGACUUACCAAGGCUUUGACGGGUAGCCGGCCUGGGAGGGUGACCGGCCACAUGAGGACUAAGAUACGGCCCAGACGGCUACGGGAGGCAGCGGUCGGGAGUAUGGCACAAUGGGGCGACGCCUGAUGCGACGACGUUGCGUGCGGAAUGACGGCUUUCGGGGUGUGAACCGCUUUCGCCUGUGCCGAAGCGUGAGUGACGGUAAUGGGUAAAGAAGCACCGGCUAACUACGUG